GAUGAAGAACGUAUCGAAAUGCGAUAAGUAAUGUGAAUUGCAGAAUUCAGUGAAUCAUCGAAUCUUUGAACGCACAUUGCGCCCAUUAGUAUUCUAGUGGGCAUGCCUGUUCGAGCGUCAUUUCAACCCUUAAGCCUAGCUUAGUAUUGGGAAUCGACUUUACUGUCGUUCCUCAAAUUCAACGGCGGAUUUAUAGCAAUCUCUGAACGUAGUAAUUUUUUUCCUCGUUUUUGAAAUACUAUAAACCUCAGCCGCUAAACCCCCAAUUUUUCUAUGGUUGACCUCGGAUCAGGUAGGAAUACCCGCUGAACUUAAGCAUAUCAAUAAGCGGAGGA
rnacentral:misc_RNA from 1 species